AGAGUUUGAUCCUGGCUCAGGACGAACGCUGGCGGCGUGCUUAACACAUGCAAGUCGAGCGGUAAGGCCCUUCGGGGUACACGAGCGGCGAACGGGUGAGUAACACGUGGGUGACCUGCCCUCCACUUCGGGAUAAGCCUGGGAAACUGGGUCUAAUACCGGAUAUGACCUGCUGGUGCAUGCCGGUGGGUGGAAAGUUUUUUCGGUGGGGGAUGGGCCCGCGGUCUAUCAGCUUGUUGGUGGGGUGAUGGCCUACCAAGGCGACGACGGAUAGCCGGCCUGAGAGGGUGAUCGGCCACACUGGGACUGAGACACGGCCCAGACUCCUACGGGAGGCAGCAGUGGGGAAUCUUGCGCAAUGGGCGGAAGCCUGACGCAGCAACGCCGCGUGAGGGAUGACGGCCUUCGGGUUGUAAACCUCUUUCGCGAUCGACGAAGCUCCAUCUUUUGGGUGGGGUGACGGUAGGUCGAGAAGAAGCACCGGCCAACUACGUGCCAGCAGCCGCGGUAAUACGUAGGGUGCGAGCGUUGUCCGGAAUUAUUGGGCGUAAAGAGCUCGUAGGCGGUGUGUCGCGUCGGCCGUGAAAACCUGGGGCUUAACUCUGGGCGUGCGGUCGAUACGGGCAUCACUAGAGUUCGGCAGGGGAGACUGGAAUUCCUGGUGUAGCGGUGAAAUGCGCAGAUAUCAGGAGGAACACCGGUGGCGAAGGCGGGUCUCUGGGCCGAUACUGACGCUGAGGAGCGAAAGCAUGGGUAGCGAACAGGAUUAGAUACCCUGGUAGUCCAUGCCGUAAACGUUGGGCGCUAGGUGUGGGGUCCAUUCCACGGGUUCCGUGCCGCAGCUAACGCAUUAAGCGCCCGCCUGGGGAGUACGGCC
rnacentral:rRNA from 1 species